rnacentral:lncRNA from 1 species
GCCAUUCAAAGUUGUAAAAAUCAUGACGCUGCACCCCACGGUUUACGUUUUAGGGGGCGCCAAAGAUGACCCAAAUAUACAUUACAGUAGACAAAGUAGUUUUGCCCACUGAGUGGCGCCAAAGGGACUUGUCUGUGGAGUCUGUGGGUCACUAUUGGCCGUUUUUGACUACUUUAGAUUUUACCUUUAUAUUUCCUCUUACAAAAUUUUUACCUUGCCUUGCCUGGUAUCAUUUUUUUCAGCACAACCUCACCUGUGUCAAUUUACAGUUAUUUUAUCAUUUUGACAUACUAUAUUUACACAUUGGACCCAAAUUCACACACAAAACAUAAAAUCCGAGUGGAAAAAAGUAACGUUUUUACUGUGAAAACCACAAAUAUGUGUGAUGAACUGUUUUUAAAACUUAAACUUCAAAUAAAAAUUGUAAACUUCAAAACAUAUGCAAAUUUUUAACAAAGAACAUAGUAAUUUACCUCUAUUGACAUCAAAAUGCAGGCAAUGGCCCAGGUGUUCUUUGUAAAAUUAUUUACAAAACACUGUAUAGUCUCACAAAUGUCACUUUUUAUUUAUGCCACUACAAAAAAACAUGAUGUAAAUGAUGCAUGAUGUAAAACAUGAUGUAAAAAACUUGUGUAGAUCCUCCUCUAUGUUAGUCCAUGUGUAAUUUUUCCAUAAUUCUUUGUUUUUUGCAGCAUUUUUGUUAGUGUAACUGCAGAUUGUGCUGACAGUGUCUAUGGCAAAAAAAAAAAAAAAAAAAAACUGAAAAUGCCUCAACAUGAACCCCUGGUGGUCUCUGAGGGUGAAACCUGCUAACUGCUGCAGCUCUGUCAGCUUCAGUCUCCCAUGCAGAGCUCGGAGCGCAUGUGUGGCUCUGCACCCUUAGCAGCGUUGCUAACUCCUCAGUAAGGAAAGCCUGCUUCAUGUCAGAGUCUCUAAACUCCAGAAGAAGUCGAUAAAAGUCACUUUCUUUCUAAAAAAAGUCGUUAGGGGGUCUGAAAAGUCAUUGAAUCUAACAACAAAGUCGCUAGGUUUGCAACUACAUGUCCCAGACUGCAUCCCUGCUGAGAGUCCCUCUCUCCCUUCUCAUAUUGCAGGAAGAACGUAAGUUCCCGCCCCUUGUCAAUCAGUCACCAUAUAAUUUUGGAUUGGUUGUUGUGGUGAAGUUUUCCACCAAUAGGAGAGAUGUUGUGGUGUGUUUUUUUUUUCCUUUGGCAAGCCUUUUCCGCCUGUAAGACCUGUCGCUAAUGUCUGCAUGCUAUGUUUUCCUGUCUCAUACAGCGCGAUCGAGCGCCGAACGUGAUCAAAAUAAGCAGAAAACAAGUAUCGCGGACAUAAUUUAUCAUAACUCUGGUUUUAUUUGGCCUAUCAACACAAUUUAAAAACUGGUAUAUAUGUUGAGGUCCUCACUUUUGAGAUAAGUUGAAACGGAGAGUCAACGAGGCUCCGUCUUGCAGCUACAUCCGGUUAAAUAUGUCAUGUGACUUGAACGCACACACACACACACACACACACAGACACACACACACACGCACACACACACACUCAGAGUCUGGUUUUUAGCACCUGCAAAAACAUGCUAUUUACAUAUUUGACAAGAAUGCAGAGGCUCCUUUUGCCCCUGAAAAAAAUCAAAUUUCAAACACAACUUGACUGGUCAUUUCUCCAAAAGACAACCAUGAAGCUCCAUCCAAACCUGAAGCAGGCAGUUGGUGCAUGUGUACAGUAACCUGAGGGGAGUGAGGUGACUGCUUCUGAGGAGAACAUGAGCAGUGAAGAUUCACCUUAGAGCUAGAACAGAGACGUGCACAUGAUUAUACAGGGGCAGGGGCUCAAGUUUUUUCCAGUUGUUUAUACAAUAUGGAAAUUAAUGUGAAAUUAAAAAACAAAGUAUUAAUAGAAAGGUAAUGACUGUCCUGUGUAGGUGACAGUGAUAUCCAAUAGGCUAGGCACUCACGAGGCUGGCUGUGGCAAGUGUAAGUGAAAGCAACACGCACUGGCAGGAAGAACAGCAAACGCCGAUGAAGGAAAAGGGUCUUUGCAGUGAUGGGCGUUACCAGAGAAGGCGAUGGCCAGAGGACACAAAUGGGACGGGGAGGCAGCGCGUUGGGGGCGGGGACGCGACACAGCUCGGGCCCGCCAGUGCCCCAACGGGGUCCUAGUUAUUAGGGCCCGAGCGUAGCUGCUAAGCAGCUGCGAGAGCCCUAUUAUUCCUGAUGGAUUCUUCUUUAGGGCCCGAGCGUAGCUGCUAAGCAGCUGCGAGAGCCCUCUUGUUCCUGCAUGUUUCCUUCUUUCGUUAUUAUUUUUCCUCCGCUUCAAACUGGAAAAUGGCCCACUUCCCACUGGCGAAAACUCAGGAAAUUUGGCAGGACGACCGGGCCUGGUGAAAAAUUCGAUAUUCUGAAGUCGCCCAAACAAUAAAAUGCAAAAUGGCUCCAUAGCGCCCCCUAAGGUGAAAAUUCACAUGACGGCUGUAUGCUUUGUCAUAUUGACACAAAAAUUGACACACACAUGUAUCUCAAUAAGAUCUACAAAAAAGUCAGUGCGGGCGUAUCUGUCAAAUGUACGGUUAAUGGGUUAUUUUGCAUUUUUUGCAGAUCUGCACACAUUGGAAUUUCGCUAACUCCUCCGAAGGCUUUCGUUCGACCGGCACCACAUUUGCGCAGGCCAAUCUACCCCCCAUGGCCAUUAAAAGUUGUACAAAUCAUGACGCUGCACCCCACGGUUUACGUUCUAGGGGGCGCCAAAGAUAACCCAAAAAUCCACAUUCUUAAAAGUCUUAUAACUUUUUACUUUUGUCCUCACUGGCCUCCAAGUUUUCUAGGAUGAUGCAAUGUCCAGCCAUCAACACAUUUGUGAAGGAAUUUUUACUCCCCAAAAGAGCGCCCCCCAAUGGCAGGAGAAAAAGGUCCAUUUUUUCUUGUCUCCUAAGGUGAAAAUACACAUCAUCGAGUGUCACGCCAGUAUGCUUUGUCAUAUUGACACAAAAUUUGACAAUCACGUGUAUCUCAAUAAGAUCUAUGAAAAAGUCAAAGGGCGUGUAUCUGUCAAAUGUACGGUUAAAGGGCUAUUUUGCAUUUUUUGCCGAUCCGCACACAUUGGAAUUUCGCUAACUCCUCCGAAGGCUAUCUUUCCACCGGCACCAAAUUUGCUCAGGCCAAUCUACACCCCAUGGCCAUUCAAAGUUGUACAAAUCAUGACGCUGCACCCCACAGUUUACGUUCUAGGGGGCGCCAAAGAGGACCCAAAUAUCCACAUUUUUAAAAGUCUUAUAACUUUUUAUUUUUGUCCUCACUGGCCUCCAAGUUUUCUAGGAUGAUGCAAUGUCCAGCCAUCAACACAUUUGUGAAGGAAUUUUUUCUCCCCAAAAGAGCGCCCCCCCAUGGCAGGAGAAAAAGUCAAGUUUUUCCUGCCCAUCGCUCAAUGGCUCAAACGCAUCGCUCUCUCGGCAAAACCGAAAGGAGGAGCAACUUGCCAUUUGGAUAUAUACUAGCUGUGUUUGUGCCCUCACUCAUGGUCCAGACUUUUUUCAAAAAGGACAUGGAGUUUGUCUGAAGCGAGCGUUUUGGUAGAAACUGCGCCUCCCAUUCAUUAUAAUGGUAAAUGACCACAGACAAGUGCGCACACCAUCUUUGGACCUUGAGUGUGACGCGAUCGGGAGGGGUAGGCGGUCGCGCUGGGGGUGGCGCGACACGGCUCGGGCCCGCCAGUGCCCCAACGGGGCCCUAGUUCUUCUUCUUCUUAUUAUUAUUUUUCUGCCCCUUUGAACUGGAAAAUGGCCCACUUCCCACUGGUGAAAAGUCAUGAAAUUUGGCAGGACGACCGGGCCUGGUGAAAAAUUCGAUAUUCUGAAGUCGCCCAAAAAAUCAAAUGCAAAAUGGCUCCAUAGCGCCCCCUAAGGUGAAAAAUUCACAUGAUUGAGUGUCACGCCUGUACGCUUUGUCAAAAUGACACAAAAUUUGACACACACGUGUAUCUCAAUAAGAUCUACAAAAAAGUCAGUGCGGGCGUAUCUGUCAAAUGUACGGUUAAAGGGCUAUUUCGCAUUUUUUGCCGAUCCGCACACAUUGGAAUUUCGCUAACUCCUCCGAAGGCUUUCGUUCCACCGGCACCAAAUUUGCUCAGGCCAAUCUACACCCCAUGGCCAUUAAAAGUUGUACAAAUCAUGACGCUGCAUCCCACGGUUUACGUUCUAGGGGGCGCCAAAGAUAACCCAGAAAUCCACAUUCUUAAAAGUCGUAUAACUUUUUAUUUUUGUCCUCACUGGCCUCCAAGUUUUCUAGGAUGAUGCAAUGUCCAGCCAUCAACACAUUUGUGAAGGAAUUUUUACUCCCCAAAAGAGCGCCCCCCCCAUGGCAGGAGAAAAAAGUCCAUUUUUUCUUGUCCCCUAAGGUGAAAAUACACAUUGUUGAGUGUCACGCCUAUACGCUUUGUCAAAAUGACACAAAAAUUGACACACACAUGUAACUCAAUAAGAUCUACGAAAAAGUCAAUGCGCGCGUAUCUGUCAAAUGUACGGUUAAAGGGUUAUUCCGCAUUUUUUGCCGAUCCGCACACAUUGGAAUGUGGCUAACUCCUCCUAAGGCUUUCGUUCCACCGGCACCACAUUUGCUCAGGCCAAUCUACACCCCAUGGCCAUUAAAAGUUAUCAAAAUCAUGACGCUGCACCCCACGGUUUAGGUUCUAGGGGGCGCCAAAGACAACCCUAAAAUCCACAUAUUUAAAAGUCUUAUAACUUUUUAUUUUUGUCCUCACUGGCCUCCAAGUUUUCUAGGAUGAUGCAAUGUCCAGCCAUCAACACAUUUGUGAAGGAAUUUUUACUCCCCAAAAGAGCGCCCCCCCAUGGCAGGAGAAAAAAGUCCAUUUUUUCUUGUCACCUAAGGUGAAAAUACAUAUUGUUGAGAUUCACGCCUAUACGCUUUGUCAUAUUGACACAAAAUUUGACAAUCACGUGCCUUGCCUGGUAUCAUUUUUUUCAGCACAACCUCACCUGUGCGAAUUUACAGUUAUUUUAUCAUGUUGACAUACUGAAUUUACACAAUGGACCCAAAUUCACACACAAAACAUAAAAUCCGAGUGGAAAAAAGUAACAUUUUUACUGUGAAAACCACAAAUAUGUGUGAUGAACUGUUUUUAAAACUUAAACUUCAAAUAAAAAUUGUAAACUUCAAAACAUAUGCAAAUUUUUAACAAAGAACAUAGUGAUUUACCUCUAUUUACAUCAAAAUGCAGGCAAUGGCCCAGGCGUUCUUUGUAAAAUUAUUUACAAAACACUGUAUAGUCUCACAAAUGUCACUUUUUAUUUAUGCCACUACAAAAAAAAACAUGAUGUAAAUGAUGCAUGAUGUAAAACAUGAUGUAAAAAACUUGUGUAGAUCCUCCUCUAUGUCAGUCCAUGUGUAAUUUUUCCAUAAUUCUUUGUUUUUUGCAGCAUUUUUGUUAGUGUAACUGCAGAUUGUGCUGACAGUGUCUAUGGCACAAAAAAAAAAAAAAUUAAAAUGCCUCAACAUGAACCCCUGGUGGUCUCUGAGGGUGAAACCUGCUAACUGCUGCAGCUCUGUCAGCUUCAGUCUCCCAUGCAGAGCUCGGAGCGCAUGUGUGGCUCUGCACCCUUAGCAGCGUUGCUAACUCCUCAGUAAGGAAAGCCUGCUUCAUGUCAGAGUCUCUAAACUCCAGAAGAAGUCGAUAAAAGUCCCUUUCUUUCUAAAAAAAAAUCGUUAGGGGGUCUGAAAAGUCAUUGAAUCUAACAACAAAGUCGCUAGGUUUGCAACUACGUGUCCCAGACUGCAUCCCUGCUGAGAGUCCCUCCCUCCCUUCUCAUGUUGCAGGAAGAACGUAAGCGCCCGCCCCUUGUCAAUCAGUCACCAUAUAAUUUUGGAUUGGUUGUUGUGGUGAAGUUUUCCACCAAUAGGAGAGAUGUUGUGGUGUGUUUUUUUUUUCUUUUGGCAAGCCUUUUCCGCCUGUAAGAGCUGUCGCUAAUGUCUGCAUGCUAUGUUUUCCUGUCUCAUACAGCGCGAUCGAGCGCCGAACGUGAUCAAAAUAAGCAGAAAAAAAGUAUCGCGGACAUAAUUUAUCACUAGGGCCCCGAUGGGGCACUGUCGGGCCCGAGCCGCGUCGCGCCGCCCCCAGUGCGACCGCCUCCCCGUCCCGAUCGAGUCACACUCAAGAACCAAAGAUGGUGUGCGCACUUGUCUGUGGUCAUUUCCCAUUAUAAUGAAUGGGAGGCGCAGUUUCUACCAAAACACUCGCUGCAGACAAACUUCAUGUCCUAUUUGAAAAAAGUCUGGACCAUGAGUGAGGGCACAAACACAGCUAUGAUAUAUCGAAAUGCCAGGUUGCUCCUCCUUACGGUGUUGCCUGGAGAGCGAUGCGAUUGAGCCAUUGAGCGAUGGGCAGGAAAAACUUGACUUUUUCUCCUGCCAUAGGGGGGGGGAUGUGGAUUCUUUUAAGAAUGUGGAUUUUUGGGUCAUUUUUGGCGCCCCCUAGAACGUAAACCGUGGGGUGCAGCGUCAUGAUUUUUACAACUUUGAAUGGCCAUGGGGUGUAGAUUGGCCUGAGCAAAUUUGGUGUCAGAGGGACGAAAGCCUUAGGAGGAGUUAGCCACAUUCCAAUGUGUGCGAAUCGGCAAAAAAUGAAAAAUAGCCCUUAAACCGUACAUUUGACAGAUACGCGCGAAUUGACUUUUUUAUAGAUCUAAUUGAGAUACAUAGGUGUGUCAAUUUUUGUGUCAAUAUGAUAAAGCGUACAGGCGUGACAGUCAAUAGUGUGAAUUUCCACCUUAGGGGACAAGAAAAAAAUGACUUUUUUCUCCUGCCAUGGGGGGGCGCUCUUUUGGGGAGUAAAAAUUCCUUCACAAAUGUGUUGAUGGCUGGACAUUGCAUCAUCCUAGAAAACUUGGAGGCCAGUGAGGACAAAAAUAAAAAGUUAUAAGACUUUUAAAUAUGUGGAUUUUAGGGUUAUCUUUGGCGCCCCCUAGAACCUAAACCGUGGGAUGCAGCGUCAUGAUUUGAAUAACUUUUAAUGGCCAUGGGGUGUAGAUUGGCCUGAGCAAAUGUGGUGCCGGUGGAACGAAAGCCUUCGGAGGAGUUAGCGAAAUUCCAAUGUGUGCGGAUCGGCAAAAAAUGCAGAAUAACCCUUUAACCGUACAUUUGACAGAUACGCGCGCAUUGACUUUUUCGUAGAUCUUAUUGAGAUACAUGUGUGUGUCAAUUUUUGUGUCAUUUUGCCAAAGCGUACAGGUGUUACACUCAACAAUGUGUAUUUUCACCUUAGGGGACAAGAAAAAAUUGACUUUUUUCUCCUGCCAUGGGGGGGGCUCUUUUGGGGAGUAAAAAUUCCUUCACAAAUGUGUUGAUGGCUGGACAUUGCAUCAUCCUAGAAAACUUGGAGGCCAGUGAGGGCAAAAAUAAAAAGUUAUAAGACUUUUAAAUAUAUCGAUUUUAGGGUUAUUUUUGGCGCCCCCUAGAACCUAAACCGUGGGGUGCAGCGUCAUGAUUUGAAUAACUUUUAAUGGCCAUGGGGUGUAGAUUGGCCUGAGCAAAUGUGGUGCCGGUGGAACGAAAGCCUUCGGAGGAGUUAGCGAAAUUCCAAUGUGUGCGGAUCGGCAAAAAAUGCGAAAUAACCCUUUAACCGUACAUUUGACAGAUACGCCCGCACUGACUUUUUUGUAGAUCUUACUGAGAUACAUGUGUGUGUCAAUUUUUGUGUCAUUUUGACAAAGCGUACAGGCGUGACAGUGAAUAGUGUGAAUUUUCACCUUAGGGGGCGCUAUGGAGCCAUUUUGCAUUUUCUUGUUUGGGCGACUUCGGAAUAUCAAAUUUUUCACCAGGCCCGGUCGUCCUGCCAAAUUUCAUGAGUUUUCGCCAGUGGGAAGUGGGCCAUUUUCCAGUUCAAAGGGGAGGAAAAAUAAUAAUAAUAACAAACUAGGGCCCCGUUGGGGCACUGGCGGGCCCGAGCCGUGUCACGCCGCCCCCAGCGCGACCGCCUCCCCCACCCGAUCGCGUCACACUCAAGGUCCAAAGAUGGUGUGCGCACUUGUUUGUGGUCAUUUACCAUUAUAAUGAAUGGGAGGCGCAGUUUCUACCAAAACGCUUGCUGCAGAAAAACUCCAUGUCCUAUUUGAAAAAAGUCUGGACCAUGAGUGAGGGCACAAACACAGCUAAGAUAUAUCCAAAUGGCAAGUUGCUCCUCCUUUCGCUUUUGCCGAGAGAGCAGUGCGUUUGAGCCAUUGAAUGAUGAACAGGAAAAACUUGACUUUAUUCUCCUGCCAUGGGGGGCGCUCUUUUAAAGAGAAAAAACUCCUUCACAAAUGUGUUGAUGGCUGGACAUUGCAUCAUCCUAGAAAACAUGGAGGCCAGUGAGGACAAAAAUAAAAAGUUAUAAGACUUUUAAAUAUGUGGAUUUUAGGGUUAUAUUUGGCGCCCCCUAGAACCUAAACCGUGGGGUGCAGCGUCAUGAUUUGAAUAACUUUUAAUGGCCAUGGGGUGUAGAUUGGCCUGAGCAAAUGUGGUGCCGGUGGAACGAAAGCCUUCGGAGGAAUUAGCGAAAUUCCAAUGUGUGCGAAUCUGCAAAAAAUGCGAAAUAACCCUUUAACCGUACAUUUUACAGAUACGUGGCCAUUGACUUUUUCGAAGAUCUUAUGUAAAUACACGUGUAUGUAAAAUUUUGUGUCAAUACGACAAAACAUACAGGCGUAGCACUCAACAAUGUGUAUUUUCACCUUAGUGGACAAGAAAAAAUUGACUUUUUUCUCCUGCCAUGGGGGGCGCUCUUUUGCCGAGUAAAAAUUCCUUCACAAAUGUGUUGAUGGCUGGACAUUGCAUCAUCCUAGAAAACUUGGAGGCCAGUGGGGACAAAAAUAAAAAGUUAUAAGACUUUUAAAUAUGUGGAUUUUACGGUUAUCUUUGGCUCCCCCUAGAACCUAAACCGUGGGGUGCAGCGUCAUGAUUUGAAUAACUUUUAAUGGCCAUGGGGUGUAGAUUGGCCUGAGCAAAUGUGGUGCCGGUGGAACGAAAGCCUUCGGAGGAGUUAGCGAAAUUCCAAUGUGUGCGGAUCGGCAAAAAAUGCGGAAUAACCCUUUAACCGUACAUUUGACAGAUACGCGCGCAUUGACUUUUUCGUAGAUCUUAUUGAGAUACAUGUGUGUGUCAAUUUUUGUGUCAUUUUGCCAAAGCGUACAGGUGUUACACUCAACAAUGUGUAUUUUCACCUUAGGGGACAAGAAAAAAAUGGACUUUUUUCUCCUGCCAUGGGGGGGCGCUCUUUUGGGGAGUAAAAAUUCCUUCACAAAUGUGUUGAUGGCUGGACAUUGCAUCAUCCUAGAAAACUUGGAGGCCAGUGAGGGCAAAAAUAAAAAGUUAUAAGACUUUUAAAUAUGUGGAUCUUAGGGUUAUCUUUGGCGCCCCCUAGAACCUAAACCGUGGGGUGCAGCGUCAUGAUUUGAAUAACUUUUAAUGGCCAUGGGGUGUAGAUUGGCCUGAGCAAAUGUGGUGCCGGUGGAACGAAAGCCUUCGGAGGAGUUAGCGAAAUUCCAAUGUGUGCGGAUCGGCAAAAAAUGCGAAAUAACCCUUUAACCGUACAUUUGACAGAUACGCCCGCACUGACUUUUUUGUAGAUCUUAUUGAGAUACAUGUGUGUGUCAAUUUUUGUGUCAUUUUGACAAAGCGUACCGGCGUGACAGUGAAUAGUGUGAAUUUUCACCUUAGGGGGCGCUUUGGAGCCAUUUUGCAUUUUCUUGUUUGGGCGACUUCGGAAUAUCAAAUUUUUCACCAGGCCCGGUCAUCCUGCCAAAUUUCAUGAGUUUUCGCCAGUGGGAAGUGGGCCAUUUUCCAGUUCAAAGGGGAGGAAAAAUAAUAAUAACUAGGACCCCGUUGGGGCACUGGCGGGCCCGAGCUGUGUCGCGUCCCCCCCCCAACGCGCUGCCUCCCCGUCCCAUUUGUGUCCUCUGGCCAUCGCCCUCUCUGGUAACGCCCAUCACUGCAAAGACCCUUUUCCUUCAUCGGCGUUUGCUGUUCUUCCUGCCAGUGCGUGUUGCUUUCACUUACACUUGCCACAGCCAGCCCCUUGAGUGCCUAGCCUAUUGGAUAUCACUGUCACCUACUCAGGACAGUCAUUACCUUUCUAUUAAUACUUUGUUUUUUAAUUUCACAUUAAUUUCCAUAUUGUAUAAACAACUGGAAAAAACUUGAGCCCCUGCCCCUGUAUAAUCAUGUGCACGUCUCUGUUCUAGCUCUAAGGUGAAUCUUCACUGCUCAUGUUCUCCUCAGAAGCAGUCACCUCACUCCCCUCAGGUUACUGUACACAUGCACCAACUGCCUGCUUCAGGUUUGGAUGGAGCUUCAUGGUUGUCUUUUGGAGAAAUGACCAGUCAAGUUGUGUUUGAAAUUUGAUUUUUUUCAGGGGCAAAAGGAGCCUCUGCAUUCUUGUCAAAUAUGUAAAUAGCAUGUUUUUGCAGGUGCUAAAAACCAGACUCUGAGUGUGUGUGUGUGCGUGUGUGUGUGUGUCUGUGUGUGUGUGUGUGUGUGUGUGUGUGUGUGCGUUCAAGUCACAUGACAUAUUUAACCGGAUGUAGCUGCAAGACGGAGCCUCGUUGACUCCGUUUCAACUUAUCUCAAAAAUGAGGACCUCAACCUAUAUACCAGUUUUUAAAUUGUGUUGAUAGGCCAAAUAAAACCAGAGUUAUGAUAAAUUAUGUCCGCGAUACUUGUUUUCUGCUUAUUUUGAUCACGUUCGGCGCUCGAUCGCGCUGUAUGAGACAGGAAAACAUAGCAUGCAGACAUUAGCGACAGGUCUUACAGGCGGAAAAGGCUUGCCAAAGGAAAAAAAAAACACACCACAACAUCUCUCCUAUUGGUGGAAAACUUCACCACAACAACCAAUCCAAAAUUAUAUGGUGACUGAUUGACAAGGGGCGGGCGCUUACGUUCUUCCUGCAAUAUGAGAAGGGAGGGAGGGACUCUCAGCAGGGAUGCAGUCUGGGACACGUAGUUCCAAACCUAGCGACUUUGUUGUUAGAUUCAAUGACUUUUCAGACCCCCUAACGACUUUUUUUUUAGAAAGAAAGUGACUUUUAUCGACUUCUUCUGGAGUUUAGAGACUCUGACAUGAAGCAGGCUUUCCUUACUGAGGAGUUAGCAACGCUGCUAAGGGUGCAGAGCCACACAUGCGCUCCGAGCUCUGCAUGGGAGACUGAAGCUGACAGAGCUGCAGCAGUUAGCAGGUUUCACCCUCAGAGACCACCAGGGGUUCAUGUUGAGGCAUUUUCAGUUUUUUUUUUUUUUUUGCCAUAGACACUGUCAGCACAAUCUGCAGUUACACUAACAAAAAUGCUGCAAAAAACAAAGAAUUAUGGAAAAAUUACACAUGGACUAACAUAGAGGAGGAUCUACACAAGUUUUUUACAUCAUGUUUUACAUCAUGCAUCAUUUACAUCAUGUUUUUUUGUAGUGGCAUAAAUAAAAAGUGACAUUUGUGAGACUAUACAGUGUUUUGUAAAUAAUUUUACAAAGAACACCUGGGCCAUUGCCUGCAUUUUGAUGUAAAUAGAGGUAAAUUACUAUGUUCUUUGUUAAA